CCUACGGGCGGCUGCAGUGGGGAAUAUUGCACAAUGGGCGCAAGCCUGAUGCAGCCGUGCCGCGUGUGUGAAGAAGGCCUUCGGGUUGUAAAGCACUUUCAGCGGGGAGGAAGGCGUUAAGGUUAAUAACCUUGGCGAUUGACGUUACCCGCAGAAGAAGCACCGGCUAACUCCGUGCCAGCAGCCGCGGUAAUACGGAGGGUGCAAGCGUUAAUCGGAAUUACUGGGCGUAAAGCGCACGCAGGCGGUCUGUCAAGUCGGAUGUGAAAUCCCCGGGCUCAACCUGGGAACUGCAUUCGAAACUGGCAGGCUAGAGUCUUGUAGAGGGGGGUAGAAUUCCAGGUGUAGCGGUGAAAUGCGUAGAGAUCUGGAGGAAUACCGGUGGCGAAGGCGGCCCCCUGGACAAAGACUGACGCUCAGGUGCGAAAGCGUGGGGAGCAAACAGGAUUAGAUACCCCUGUAGUC
rnacentral:rRNA from 1 species